rnacentral:rRNA from 1 species
CAGCCGCGCGGUAAUACAGAGGGUGCGAGCGUUAAUCGGAUUUACUGGGCGUAAAGCGUGCGUAGGCGGCUUCUUAAGUCGGAUGUGAAAUCCCUGAGCUUAACUUAGGAAUUGCAUUCGAUACUGGGAAGCUAGAGUAUGGGAGAGGAUGGUAGAAUUCCAGGUGUAGCGGUGAAAUGCGUAGAGAUCUGGAGGAAUACCGAUGGCGAAGGCAGCCAUCUGGCCUAAUACUGACGCUGAGGUACGAAAGCAUGGGGAGCAAACAGGAUUAGAUACCCCAGUAGUCCCUGUCUCUUAUACA